AGCGAGGUAGUUCAGCGGCAGAACGGUCGGCUCUUAACCGAUUGGACGCAGGUUCGAGCCCUGCCCUCGUUU
rnacentral:tRNA from 1 species